rnacentral:rRNA from 1 species
CCAAUAGCGUAUAUUAAAGUUGUUGCAGUUAAAAAACUCGUAGUUGAAUUUCGGGGUCAGUAGGCUGGUCGUGCCACAGGUAUGUACUGGUCUUACUGAUUCCUCCUUCCUGAUGAACCGUAAUGCCAUUAAUUUGGUGUUGCGGGGAAUCUGGACUGUUACUUUGAAAAAAUUAGAGUGUUUAAAGCAGGCUAACGCUUGAAUACAUUAGCAUGGACUAAUGAAAUAGGACGAUCGAUCCUAUUUUGUUGGUUUCUAGGAUUGACGUAAUGAUUAAUAGAGAUAGUUGGGGGCAUUAGUAUUCAAUUGUCAGAGGUGAAAUUCUUGGAUUUAUUGAAGACUAACUACUGCGAAAGCAUUUGCCAAGGAUGUUUUCAUUAAUCAAGAGCGAAAGUUAGGGGAUCGAAGACGAUCAGAUACCGUCGUAGUCUUAACCAUAAACUAUGCCGACUAGGGAUCGGAUGAUGUUAAUUUUUUAAUGACUCAUUCGGCGCCUUACG